rnacentral:rRNA from 1 species
ACGACGUCAAGUCAUCAUGGCCCUUAUGUCCUGGGCUACACACGUGCUACAAUGGCCGGUACAGAGCGCAGCGAAGCCGCGAGGACAAAGCGAAUCGCAAAAAGCCGGUCCCAGUACGGAUUGGAGUCUGCAACCCGACUCCAUGAAGUUGGAAUCGCUAGUAAUCGCGGAUCAGCAUGCCGCGGUGAAUACGUUCCCGGGCCUU